rnacentral:ncRNA from 2 species
CACUCAUCCAGAGGGGCGGAGGGAUCGGCCCGACGAAGCCCCAGCAACCAUCCUUAACCUGAUCAGUUAAGUUUAAGGUGCUAAUUCCGACAGUGAUGUCUGACAGAUGAGCA